AGUGAAUGAUCUGAAGAACGCAGCCCCGUGUGCUGUCAGCUACCUGCUCUUUGACCAGAGUGACAGGGUCAUGCAACAGAACCUGGUGUACUAUCAGUACCACCGGGACAAGUGGGGCCUCACGGACGAGCACUUCCAGCCCAGACCCGAAGCAGUUCAGUUCUUUAAUGUGACGACGCUCCAGAAGGAACUGUACGACUUCGCUCAGGAACACCUAAUGGAUGAUGAUGAGGGAGAGGUUGUGGAGUAUGUGGACGACUUGUUGGAGACGGAAGAGUCUGCCUAGUCCACAGGGGCUAAGGAACCUCUCUUCCACAUUCCUCUUUCUUCAAGUGCCUGGGUUGUUGAUACCUCACAGCCUCUCUUCUUAAAGUAAGAAGGAAGCCACCAUCUCUCCCUACCAAGGUCAAGCCUGACUUCCCCUUGUUCACACUCAGUAUUCACGCUUGUCUUCAUGGUUACACGUCUUCAUGCCUGUCUUUCCCUUCACACAUGUGUUCCUGUCAUCUAGUCUGCCCUCCUCACGGUCAUGUUCGUCUCCCCUCUGAUCCCAUGUGUCUCCCCCAUGUUUAGAAAUACAGUAUUCUGUGGUCUGCUUUCUCAUCCCUGAAGAAAAAUCAGUAUUAUUUUUUAAGUAAGAAAAACACUAAAAGAUGAUAAAUAUAUUUGGAGAAUU